rnacentral:lncRNA from 1 species
UAUAAGUGUGGAAUGAGAGAUAUGGGGCUUGACAUUUUUUCUUAUACGUGAGCAGGUAUUUCAUUGGUUUCUUGGGUGUCAAAAACUGUUCAUGAGUAUGAACAUUAAUGAAGACGCUGAUAGCAAAUAUGCAUUCUGUUUUAGGAAGAAAACUUUCAUAAAGAUGACAAGCACUCUUCACCUGAAACUCACAAGCACGCAAAGGGAGUGGGUUUUUGGAUACUCAAGGGUGCCUUCAUGUUCUGACAGCCAGACUCUGACCAGGACCACCAGUCUUCACAGAGGUAGAGGAGAGAGCUGACUACAAACGUGCCCUGCUGUGCACCUUGGUCAAGGUUCUUCCACCCUUAAUUUGCCGCCUCUGGGUCCUUGCUAUCUGGCUCUUCCACACAUGAUAGGCAUUGAGGAUGCUUUGUGUCUUCUUUGGUAAGUGAAGCCUGUGUGACAGGUACUACAACCUCCUCCCCAGGAUGCAGGCAGCUAGCACAGAAUCUGAGGACUCUCAUAUUUUCAUGUCAUAAGGACAUGUGUCUUUCUCCACCAUGCAUGGGCAUGAGAACAGGCAAAACAGAGAGAAGGAUAGUUAGAAAGGAAAGAAGAUGAAACUCAGGCACAGGGGAAAUGAGGAUGCUGGACCCAACAUACCCUCGAUGUUCUCUGAUUUUCUAUAGGGAAGAAUUCAACAUAGUCCAGCCUCACCUACACAACAGAUAAUUCAGUAUUUUCAGGUGGCAAAACAAUCCAGAAAAUAUCAUUCAUUCUAUGACCUGGAGAAAAAAACUGAAAUAUAUUUUCUCCUUCCCCCACACAUACACUAUUUUUAAGAAUGCUGUAGCCGGAAGACAGAUCGCAUGUUUUUCCCUUCAUGGUUGUUCAUUUUGAAUCAUUGGCAACUAACUUUGCCUGA